AUGGCUUCAUCCGGUUCCAUGACGAGGCCACCGUGUGCUAACCAAGAAGACAUGCCGAACAAGUGGGAGGACGCAUCUUUGGACAAGGUGAAGGAGAAAGAUGUCAACAUCCCGCAAUGUUGGUGUGCAGAUGUUUGCAAGGUGAAGGUGUCCACCGACCGAAAGAAAGCAUGGAAGGAAGGGCGGAGAUAUUUUGUAUGCCCGAACUAUGCUUAUGAUCGUGCACUUCCAACUAACGCCUAUGACCAACCACCGGUAAGCUCGAGAAGUAAAAUGUUACUCUGA
rnacentral:rRNA from 1 species